ensembl:lncRNA
AAAUUUUAAUUUAUUUUUUUUAAAGAUUUUAUUUAUUUAUUUUGAGAGAGAGAGAGACAGAGCACAAGCAGGGAGGAGAGGGAGAGGGAGAAGCAGACUCCCCACUGGGCUAGGAGCCCGAUGUGGGGCUCGAUCCCAGGAUCCUGAGAUCAUGACCUGAGCUGAAGGCAGACACUCAACCACCCGAGCCACCCAGGCGCCCCUGUUUUUUUGUUUUUUGAUUUGGUUUCACCUUCAUCUCUAGAAAGCACUCAGCCUUUUACACCCUCCAGAGGGGAUGGUUUUGAAAACUUCAGUGGCACGUGCUUAUGAUCUAAUUUUACAGACAGCCUGUGACGUUGUGUGAUUAUAAGCAUCCUUCCACGCACACCUGUGACACCCUCAAAGGGAGCUCGCCGACCUCUGGCAGCAGCCGUGUAAGACACGAGCACCUCUGCUUCUCAUGGGUUUCACGGCGCAGUGACUGCCUUCAUCCCGUGUGGUAGUACACGAAGCUGUGGGCUGCCACGGGCCGCCACGGGGUGGGGUCGGCCAGGCUUCUCCGUGCCCCCGGCUGGGUUGCCUUUUCUGUAGGGGUGCGCUGAGAGUGUUGGGGGCUCAGGAAGGACUGAUGAAGGUGACAUGACCAGAAUGUCCUUUUUUCUCUGUCACUUGUCUGUUUCAGCACCUUUCGUAUAAAAGCCCACACUACCCUUUGUAUGCUGACCUUUGUACCAGGAGCAUGUGUUACUUUCUCCAUGAAAUACCAAAAUGAACUGAGCGUAAACGUCAGCUGCACAGGUUCCGCUCUCGCUGCUGACAGGGCGGGCCAGCCCUGCUGGUGGCUUGGGGGACUGCCACCUGGGGGAGAGGGUCCUGAGAGCAGUGUCCCGGCUCCAUGAAGUUGACGUGACAGCAUCCAGGCGAAAGGGUCCCCC